ACUCUAAGGAGACUGCCGGUGACAAACCGGAGGAAGGUGGGGAGUGACGUCAAGUCAUCAUGGCCCUUACGGCCUGGGCGUACACACGUGCUACAAUGGUCGGUACAAAGGAUUGCCAAGCCGCGAGGUGGAGCUAAUCCCAUAAAACCGAUCGUAGUCCGGAUCGCAGUCUGCAACUCGACUGCGUGAAGUCGGAAUCGCUAGUAAUCGUGAAUCAGAAUGUCACGGUGAAUACGUUCCCGGGCCUU
rnacentral:rRNA from 1 species